rnacentral:misc_RNA from 1 species
UUGCAUAUUUGUGAGUAAAAC